CCUACGAGAGGCAGCAGUGAGGAAUAUUGGUCAAUGGGCGCGAGCCUGAACCAGCCAAGUAGCGUGAAGGAUGACUGCCCUACGGGUUGUAAACUUCUUUUAUAAAGGAAUAAAGUGAGUCACGUGUGCCUUUUUGUAUGUACUUUAUGAAUAAGGAUCGGCUAACUCCGUGCCAGCAGCCGCGGUAAUACGGAGGAGCCGAGCUUUAUCCGGAUUUAUUGGGUUUAAGGGGGGCGUAGAUGGGUUUUUAAGUCAGUUGUGAAAGUUUGCGGCUAAACCGUAAAAUUGCAAUUGAUACUGGCAGCCUUGAGUACAGUUGAGGUAGGCGGAAUUCGUGGUGUAGCGGUGAAAUGCUUAGAUAUCACGAAGAACUCCGAUGGCGAAGGCAGCCUACUAAACUGCCACUGACAUUGAUGCUCGAAAGUGUGGGUAUCAAACAGGAUUAGAUACCCCAGUAGUC
rnacentral:rRNA from 1 species